CUACGGGGCGCUGCAGUGUGGAAUAUUGCACAAUGGGGGGAACACUGAUGCAGCAACGCCGCGUGGAGGAUGACGCAUUUCGGUGUGUAAACUCCUUUUAUAUGUCAAGAAAAUGACGGUAGCAUAUGAAUAAGCACCGGCUAACUCCGUGCCAGCAGCCGCGGUAAUACGGAGGGUGCAAGCGUUACUCGGAAUCACUGGGCGUAAAGGACGCGUAGGCGGGUUGGAAAGUCAGGUGUGAAAUCCUACAGCUUAACUGUAGAACUGCACUUGAAACUUCUAAUCUAGAGUAUGGGAGGGGGAGAUGGAAUUAGUGGUGUAGGGGUAAAAUCCGUAGAUAUCACUAGGAAUACCUAAAGCGAAGGCGAUCUCCUGGAACAUUACUGACGCUAAGGCGUGAAAGCGUGGGGAGCAAACAGGAUUAGAUACCCCCGUAGUC
rnacentral:rRNA from 1 species